rnacentral:rRNA from 1 species
UACGUAGGGGGCAAGCGUUGUCCGGAUUUAUUGGGCGUAAAGAGCGUGUAGGCUGCUUGGUAGGUCCGCUGUGAAAACUCGAGGCUCAACCUCGAGAUGUCGGCGGAAACCACUUGGCUAGAGUCCGGAAGAGGAGAGUGGAAUUCCUGGUGUAGCGGUGAAAUGCGCAGAUAUCAGGAAGAACACCUAUGGCGAAGGCAGCUCUCUGGGACGGUACUGACGCUGAGACGCGAAAGCGUGGGGAGCGAACAGG